rnacentral:snRNA from 1 species
GUUCGAGUCCCGGUAUCGGA